GCAGUCGAGCGGACCCUUCGGGGUCAGCGGCGGACGGGUGAGUAACACGUGGGCAACCUGCCGAGCAGACCGGAAUAACGCCUGGAAACGGGUGCUAAUGCCGGAUAGGCAGCGAGGAGGCAUCUCCUUGCUGGGAAAGGUGCAACUGCACCGCUGUUCGAGGAGCCCGCGGCGCAUUAGCUAGUUGGUGGGGUAACGGCCUACCAAGGCGACGAUGCGUAGCCGACCUGAGAGGGUGACCGGCCACACUGGGACUGAGACACGGCCCAGACUCCUACGGGAGGCAGCAGUAGGGAAUCUUCGGCAAUGGGCGCAAGCCUGACCGAGCAACGCCGCGUGAGCGAAGAAGGCCUUCGGGUUGUAAAGCUCAGUCACUCGGGAAGAGCGACCUAAGGAGUGGAAAGCCUUAGGGGAGACGGUACCGAGGGAGGAAGCCCCGGCAAACUACGUGCCAGCAGCCGCGGUAAUACGUAGGGGGCAAGCGUUGUCCGGAAUCACUGGGCGUAAAGCGUGCGUAGGCGGUUUGUUAAGUCUGAAGUGAAAGGCCAUGGCUCAACCAUGGGAAUGCUUAGGAAACUGGCAGACUUGAGUACU
rnacentral:rRNA from 1 species